AGGGGUAUCGCCAAGCGGUAAGGCACCAGACUUUGACUCUGGUAUUCGUAGGUUCAAAUCCUGCUACCCCUGCCA
rnacentral:tRNA from 2 species